UACGGGGAGAGCAGGCGUUGUUCGGAUUUACUGGGCGUAAAGGGCGCGUAGGCGGUCAGCACAAGUCAGUUGUGAAAUCUCCGGGCUUAACUCGGAAAGGUCAACUGAUACUGUGCGACUAGAGUGCAGAAGGGGCAACUGGAAUUCUCGGUGUAGCGGUGAAAUGCGUAGAUAUCGAGAGGAACACCUGCGGCGAAGGCGGGUUGCUGGGCUGACACUGACGCUGAUGCGCGAAAGCCGGGGGAGCGAACGGG
rnacentral:rRNA from 1 species